GGCAGGUCUCUGGCCCAAUACUGACACUGAGGAGCGAAAGCGCGGGGAGCGAACAGGAUUAGAUACCCUGGUAGUCCGCGCCGUAAACGGUGGGCGCUAGUUGUGGGGACCUUCCACGGUCUCUGCGACGCAGCUAACGCAUUAAGCGCCCCGCCUGGGGAGUACGAUCGCAAGAUUAAAACUCAAAGGAAUUGACGGGGCCCCGCACAAGCAGCGGAGCAUGCGGCUUAAUUCGACGCAACGCGAAGAACCUUACCAAGGCUUGACAUAUACCGAAAAGCAGCAGAGAUGUUGUGUCCGCAAGGGCGGUAUACAGGUGGUGCAUGGUUGUCGUCAGCUCGUGUCGUGAGAUGUUGGGUUAAGUCCCGCAACGAGCGCAACCCUCGUUCUGUGUUGCCAGCAUUUAGUUGGGGACUCACAGGAGACUGCCGUGGUCAACACGGAGGAAGGUGGGGAUGACGUCAAAUCAUCAUGCCCCUUAUGUCUUGGGCUGCACGCAUGCUACAAUGGCAGGUACAAAGGGCUGCGAUACCGUAAGGUGGAGCGAAUCCCAAAAAGUCUGUCUCAGUUCGGAUUGAGGUCUGCAACUCGACCUCAUGAAGUCGGAGUUGCUAGUAAUCGUAGAUCAGCAACGCUACGGUGAAUACGUUCCCGGGGCUUGUACACACCGCCCGUCACGUCACGAAAGUCGGUAACACCCAAAGUCAGUGGCCCAAC
rnacentral:rRNA from 1 species